rnacentral:lncRNA from 10 species
CAGUGCAGAAGGAAAAUAUGGGGUUGGAACCCCCACACUGGAGGCCACCAUCAUGCAGACCCCAGAUUCAUAGACCCACCAAGAGCUUUGUACCCUCCAUGGGUAAAAACUACAGGCACUCAACACCAGCACAGCCCAUGAAGGCAGCUGCAUGGGCUGAACACUGCAAAGCCACAGGUGCAGAGCUGCCCAAGGCCUUUGGAGCCCAGCCCUCACACCCUUGUGCCCUGGAUGUGGGACAAGGAUAAAAAAGGGGUGACUUUGGAGCUGUGGGUUUGAAUAACUGGCCUGCUGGGUUUUGGACUUUUCAUGGAGCUUGUAAGUCCUAUUUGUGUUUUGUUCUCUCAGGCAAAAAUAUUCCUUUUGGCUAGGAAUUCUUAAUGCCUGAACAAUCAUUGUACCUUGGAAGUAGUUAACUUGUUUGUAUUUCAGAGGCUCAGGGGCAGAAGAGACUGCCUCAUCUCAGAUGAGACUUUGGGCUUCAGACAUUUGAGUAAAUGCUGGAAUGAGUUAAGACCUUGUGGCACUGUAGGUGUGGCCUGGUGGGAGGUGAUUUAUUCCUGUACUUGAGAGGGGUGGAGUUGGAAGUAAAAAGAAGUGGGCUGCAACAAGGAUGGAUGAAAAUGUAAAAGCAGGUUCAGAAGAGGGUAACAGCCAGAGGUUGGAAAGUUUGGAGGCCUUGGAAGAAGUCAGGAAGAUGAAGGUAAGUUUUGACCAUUGUAGAGACUUGUUAAAUAGUUAUAAUUAAAAGGGCGACAGAAGGAUGGACAGUGAAGGCCAGGCUUACAAGAUCUCAGAUGAAAAUGAGGAAUUUACUGAAAACAGGAGCCAAGGUUACUUUGGUUUUGCCUUAGCAAAGAAUAUCACUGCAUGAUGCCCUUAACCUGGAGACCUAUGAAACUUUGAACUUGAGGGUGAUGAUUUAGGGUGUAUCUAAAUCAUAGGGUGUAUCUAAAUCACAGACAUGAACUUUUGGCAGCAAAGCUCAAGAGGUAUCCUGUCUGUGUCCAAAAGCCUGU